rnacentral:rRNA from 1 species
ACGGGAGGCAGCAGUGGGGAAUAUUGGACAAUGGGGGAAACCCUGAUCCAGCGACGCCGCGUGAGUGAAGAAGUAUUUCGGUAUGUAAAGCUCUAUUAGCAGGGAAGAUAAUGACGGUACCUGACUAAGAAGCCCCGGCUAACUACGUGCCAGCAGCCGCGGUAAUACGUAGGGGGCAAGCGUUAUCCGGAUUUACUGGGUGUAAAGGGAGCGUAGACGGUAUGGCAAGUCUGAUGUGAAAACCCGAGGCUCAACCAUGGGACUGCAUUGAAAACUGUCAAACUAGAGUGCAGGAGGGGUAAGCGGAAUUCCUAGUGUAGCGGUGAAAUGCGUAGAUAUUAGGAGGAACACCGGCGGCGAAGGCGGCUUACUGGACUGUAACUGACGUUGAGGCUCGAAAGUGCGGGGAUCGAACAGGAUUAGAUACCCUGGUA